AUCAACAUGACCUUCAUCAUCAUCUUCAUCUGGACUCUCACAGCGUUUGCUCAAGAGUGUAGAGGACAGAUCAGCGUCACUCAGAGACCCUCAACGAAAGCAGCUCAACCAGGAGAAACAGUGAAGAUCAACUGUAGAACCAGCACAGAUGUGUACAGUGAUCUUUUUGGGAAUUAUUAUUUCAGCUGGUACUUACAGAAAUCUGGAGAAGCUCCUAAACUCCUGAUUUAUUUAACAAACAGCCGUCAGUCAGGAACUCCAUCUAGAUUCAGUGGCAGUGGAUCUAACAGUGAUUUCACUCUGACCAUCAGUGGAGUCCAGACUGAAGAUGCUGGACAUUAUUACUGUCAGAGUUACCACUACAUCAACAGUCAACGAGUGUUCACACAGUGAUAAAGAGUGGUACAAAAACCUCGGUCAGUCAGAGUCACAGUGACUGAACUGAUGCUGCAGCUGAUCAAACACUAUCACUCACUACUGACACACAGAGACCAAACACAGAACUACACAUGAGCUCAGAACUGAGUUAGGAGUCAAAUCAGCUCUAUUAGACUGAGAUCUGUCCUGUGACAGACGGGUUGAAUUAGUUGUGCUCUGUUUUUGAGAUUAAUUAAUAUCUAAUGAAACAAAAAGCACACAACAAUUUUCUCAGUUCCAGUGUUGUAGUUUUUGUAGAUUGUACUACACUCAUACCUUAUAAAUGUAUCCCUGAUAAACUUGUGUAAUAAAAAUACCACUCAAACUUCAUAACUGUCUCAUCACUGCAUGAGCAGAAGUGAAACUGUUUCAGUUCAGAGCGUUGAACCAAUCAAACAGUGAAACUGUGAGUUUGAGCUGAAAA